CAUAUACAGAUGUUCCAGACGUGAUUACGUUACAGUUGACUUUGUGGACGGGUGUGACCUUAAUCAGAUCACAGGAAUAAGUAUGCGGAACAUGAUAAAGAGAAAAAGAAAAACGGUCAGCAGUUGCUAAAUAUAUUGACUCACUAUCGUGCUUACUGCAGCCUGCAUCUGUGGUCAACUGAACACACAUGGAAGCUCCUUUUAUGUGUUCAAUCUGGAGUAUCAGGAGUCAGCAUCCACAACGCUGGAGAUGGUACAGAGAUUCUUUUUAAGGAUCAACCCUGAAGAGGGCAGCAAGUGCACGGCCAAAGUUGGCACAAGUCGAAAGACAGGAGGUGUUGUGAAGAGAAAGGUGACUGCCAUCAACUCCCAGCAGGAAGGAAUUGCUGCCACCUGACGCCAAUGAUCGGUUGUAUAUCUGCUGUGAUUGGAGGAGAAGAAGCUUUGUGGGCAAAAGCAGAACUAUUCCUCAGAUCAGUUAUUUGUUUGUAAACUUUUGUUGUAUUGUUCUUUACCAUACAAAUUUAUAUUGUUGUUUCUUUGGGAUUAGUAGAGAGGUGGGUGCCAUUUCCUUUUGAUUUAGUUUUCUCUUGUUUUUUUUUUUUUUUUGCAUAUUGUGAUGAUCUCUGCUUUUAUUUGUUAUGCAUGAAUUUCUCUAAAAAAAUUAAUGCUGCAUCACAAUAAAUAAAUUGGAUGUUAUUGAUUGUGACAGUAAAUAAAAAAUAU